GACGAACGCUGGCGGCGUGCUUAACACAUGCAAGUCGAACGGAAAGGCCCCCACCUUGGUGGGGGUGCUCGAGUGGCGAACGGGUGAGUAACACGUGGGUGAUCUGCCCUGUAUUUCGGGAUAAGCUGGGGAAACUGGGUCUAAUACCGGAUAGGACCAUGGUUCAGUGUCUCAGGGGGGAAAAAUUAUUGUUUUGGUGCAGGAUGAGCUCGGGUCCUAUCAGCUUGUUGGUGGGGUAAUGGCCUACCAUGGCGUCGACGGGUAGCCGGCCUGAGAGGGUGGACGGCCAGAGUGGGACUGAGAUACGGCCCAGACUCCUACGGGAGGCAGCAGUGGGGAAUAGUGAGCAAUGGGCGAAAGCCUGAUGCAGCGGCGCCGCGUGUGGGAUGACGGCCUUCGGGUUGUAAACUCCUUUCGUUAGGAACGAAGCCACACCUUUUUUGGGUGUGGUGACGGUACCUUUGUUAAGAAGCACCGGCUAACUACGUG
rnacentral:rRNA from 1 species